CAGUGGUUUGCCAGGAUAGCUUUUAUGCUGCAGGACCACAUAUUACAUUGGAUGAGAGGAGUCAAAGGUUGUGGUCCAGAGGAGAAGGAGCUCGUGGGCAGCAGGUUCUCCUCAGGCUGAGAGGAAGCUUCUUCCCUUUAAUAUUAGAGCCAAGCAAGAACAUUUUUCCCCUCCUCUUCUCCUUGCAAAGAAGCAGACCAAUAAAAUAAUAAUAAUAAUAAAAGGCAUAACCAGUCUCCCCUCCCAUUCUGACAUGUUGAGUGCCAAAACUCAGAUCAAGUCUGUAAGGCAAGAAUGGAAUAAGCUGAGAAGCAGAGCCACGGCUAAACCUGGAAGUAAGGCAGUGCAAAAGAGUUGGAAUUAGACCCAGAUACCAGUCCCUGGACCACCCAGUGGAAAAAGAGUCUAUUAGGUGCCAGCAGGCUGGCAGAGCCUCCUGGUGCUCCGAGAUCAACAGGAGUGGAGAGGGCAACCAACAUCAUCCCGUAAAUCCUGGGUGUUAAUGAACUGCACAACCCUGCAGAAGCCGUUUGUUUUUACCACCAAGAUGCAUUAUUUCAUCCUUCCCCCACCUCAAUGUUCAUAUUUU